rnacentral:snRNA from 1 species
UAGCUUGGGACAACCCUCACA